rnacentral:rRNA from 1 species
AUGCCUCGAGAGAGGAUUGAUGCGGACACCAUUGAUGAAGCGGUUAGUAAUGUAAUCCCUUAUCUAGAGGAUACAAGCAAUACUACACACAAGGCCAUCUAUUUUGAUGGAGCGGGUGGGCUGGCUGCUUCGGCGGUGCUUAGAGCCAUAGCCCAAGACCCUCCACCAUCUCUGCUCAAGAAAUUCGACAGGAUCAUCCAUGUCGAUUGCUCAAGGUGGAAAAGUCGAAGAGCGCUCCAGAGGACAAUCGCACAAGAACUCAAGCUUCCUCAACGGGUAAUGGAUAUUUUUGACAGGCAAGAUGAAGAAGAUGAUUUCAGGGGGGUAGUUGAAAGCUCCAGAGCUGAGAUUGCAGUCAUUGCGAGGGAGAUUCAUAAUGCCCUACGAGAACACAUAUCCUUAGUGGUCUUCCAUAAUGGCAGCAACAAUAUGGUUGGGUUGACUGAUUCUGGCAUUCCUCAAGCGCCAAUCUUUGAUGUUAAGGUAUUGUGGACAUUCCGAGGAAGGCUUCGGCUCAACCAAGGAAUUAGUGAGAAGGUGGAUCCUUCGCAUCUUUUCCUUUAUGAUGAGUACAGUACUCACGGGUGGAAUUAUUUGCUGCAACUAGAGGCAAGAGAGAUUGCUGGGUACACUGAUAAUCUUGGCGAAACAGUUGAAGAGUGUUACUUGUAUCUGCUGUCAUUAAAUUAUCAGGGAGGCAACAUAAUGGACUACAACUGGGCCACCCAUUCUUCCAACUAUUGGGUUUGUGAUGGGAUUAUACAGGGAGGUCAAGGUGAUGAAGCAUGGAAGGUUGCUGCUGCUCUGCAUCAACAUAUAGAUAUGGAGGAUUAUUCAUCUAAUGCACUGCCCUCUUUUGGUGAUGAGUUGAAGACUCCUCCAAAACGAUGGAUACUGGCCAAGGACAGCUCUGUUGUGCAGCCAGGGUCAACGUCUGUUUUCCUUGCUGCAGUCGCAAGAGGACCAGAUCCACCAUUAAGAACCUUACCUAAUGACAUGUUUCAUCAAUCGGACAAACUUCGGGUGCUCAAGUUAUGUCAUUGCACCUUCAGUUUUUCUGCACCUCCUUUUUGUUGUUGCCACAACUUAAGGUUCCUUGGAUUAGAUGGCUGCAAGGACCAGCGAGCAGAAGAAGAAGAUGAGAAGCAAGAUAGACCGGCAAUGGAAUUUUUUGAGAACCUAUGGGUACUAGACAUAUGCCACACGGAUUGGGAGUUGGACUUAGCAACAUACAUAACAGAGAAGAUGGCUGCAAACAUUAGGGAGGUACAUAUAAAGAAAGGAAGGAUUUGGUGCCACAGUUUUGCAUGGCGACAAUUGCAUAACCUUCAGAAGCUUCUAGUGAUUGAACCUACAAGGCCUUGGCAGACAGGAGGAAAGGAUGAAUUUACGGAUACAGUGAAGAUGGAAUUCCUCAACCUUUCUGGGAAUAGGACACUACAAGUUUUGCCCAACCUGUCAAAAGCAACUAGCCUCAAGACCUUGGUUCUAGAUGCUUGUGUUGGGUUGGAGCACCUUGGACCAGAAGCACUCCCUCCGUUACUUGAAUCAUUCAGCUUGGAUGUAGGAGGAGUAGAAGAUCAUUCCAAGGAAGCCCAAAUAAGCCGCAUCUCCAUGGCUGGUUGUGCAAGAUUGUCCAACUUCAAGCUAGGUGGAUCACUUCCAAACCUUGAGGAGCUGGACCUCUCAGGCACAGGAGUCAAGACACUUGACCUCACAACUCAGGUGGUGCAGGUCCCAUGUCUCCAACGAGUCAUGCUAUUGGGAUGUGAGCAACUUCGUGCUGUGCUUUGGCCAGAAAAGGAGAUGUCCCAACUAUGUUUUCUCUGCAUUGACACUCGAGGAGGAGAAGAGGUCGGAAGAAUACCACCAGAUUUUGAGAAGUUUAAAAAGGGUCAUUGUCAAGCAUAUGUUGCUAUGGUGGACAUCAAAUUCAUCCAGAUAUUGACGCAAACAACUUACAUUAAUACGUUUUGGAACAUGGGCACAAAUAAAUUUAGUCUAAACCUUUGCAUUUCUGCUAGUGGACAGUGGUGCAACAAAGGAAAGAUGGGUUCUGGUAACUGUGGGAAUAUAUUGGGGCCAGCCCUACCAAAGUCAUUAAUCCCCAAUCACUGUUAUGAUGUUUUUUCUAUGGACAACAUAACUAUUGAUCAUGACUACAAUAGUGCAGCGAAGUUUCAGCCGUUAGCCCGCCAUGUGGAGAUUGGUGAAGGAAUUAGCAACACUAGCAUGGAGAGCACACAAGGUAACAAGGCUAUCAUAUUUGUGAUGGACAAGGCUGAGAGUUUGCAUGUGCACGAUAAUUAUUCCAUCAACACUAUCAUCCCUGAAUGUGUAAUGACCAUAGAAGAUAAGAAACUUGGAUGGUCUAGGCUGCAACAGUGCCGUGUGGAGAGAUGCCCCAAGCUAGACACAGUCUUCGCCACUAACUAUGAUAUCUUUUGCUUUGAAGAACUACAGAACUUUUGGGCGGCUGAUCUGCUGAUGGCAUCCUGUGUUUGGAGCAGAGGAAAUAUUGUCAGUGCCAAGGACACCCGUUCCUUCGUGAAUCUGCAGAGCAUACACCUCUACUCAUGUCCAAGGCUCAAAUCCGUGCUUCCAUUAUCAUGGGCUGCUCCAGGCUCAUAUUUUCCCAACUUAGAGACCCUUCACAUUGUCAGUUGUGGUGAUCUCGACAAGGUAUUCCCCGUGGAGCCAGAGUUCCUGACAACAAUAUCCAACGAUGACCGAAAAGGUGUACUGGAGUUCCCAGAGCUGAAGCACAUUUACCUGCAUGAGCUCUAUAAGCUGCAGCAUAUAUGUGAAGCCAAGAUGUAUGCUCCCAAACUUGAGACCAUGAGGGUCAGGGGAUGCUGGGGUCUCCGGCGCAUCCCUGCCGUCGGCCAAGACAUCCGCCCUAUCGUGGACUGCGAGAAGGACUGGUGGGAGAAGCUGGAGUGGGACGGGCCGGAGGCCAGCCAUGACCCUUCCCUCUAUGAUCCCCGCCACUCAUCAUAUUACAAGAAGCCCCUGCCUAGAUUCUCGGUGCUCUGGUGA